UACGAAGGGGGCUAGCGUUGCUCGGAAUCACUGGGCGUAAAGCGCACGUAGGCGGCGUCUUAAGUCAGGGGUGAAAUACCUGGGAGCUCCAACUCCAGAACUGCCUUUGAUACUGAGAUGCUUGAGUCCGGGAGAGGUGAGUGGGAACUGCGAGUGUAGAGGUGAAAUUCGAUAGAUAUUCGAAGAACACCAGUGGCGAAGGCG
rnacentral:rRNA from 1 species